AAAAAACCCAAUUAUGUUAGUGAAUCCCAGGUGUGGGAUAAGAGGCUGCUUCCCGGCAGGUGAUUAUGCUAUGCAGGGGUGUGGCUUUGCCAGCUGCAGACAGUUUCUGCGAGUGUUUGGAAUUCUGGGAACUUUUCAGAGGCUAUAGAUGGCAGAGCCCGGAGAGCGGCUGCUGGUUUCUGUUGCCACUGUUUGUCAAGUGGUCCUGAGAAGAAGAAAUUGGAGCUAUCCUGACGACAAAGAAGGUACAGGGGUGCUGAGUAGAAGGAACAGCCAACAUCUUUUUUAGAGCAAUUGCUUUGGAAGCACAUGGAUGUCCCAGCGAAGGCAGGAAGCACCACCAAACCGUGGCAUCCUGGCUCUGGGAUACAUCACAGCUUCUUGCUCAUUCCAGAAAUAUCAAUAAUAUCAAUUUCUUAAUCUCAGUGGGAUCCCAUGAAACCAGAAGCUUAAAACACUAUUUUGAGGGUCCCUGGCCCCCCAUCACCUGGGAGAGCAUUUUUACCCUAUUUUCCAUAAAUUUAACACAAAAGGGCAUAAGGAGCCAAGAGCCAAAGGUGCCAAGAGCCAAAGCGUUUGCCAAGAUUGGUUUACGGCUUUUAAAUGGCCAACGGUUCACACACAGUCUCUCUGGCUCGGCUUCUCCAGUUCCAGGUUCGAUGAACAGUGGUUCUUGGAAAGCCCCACACUGGACUGCAGCUGGCACACCCGGUUUACAACUUGGUUGUCAGGAUGCCAAACUGCACAAGGUUCCAACCUUCCCAGAGUUGCUGGCUCCGCCCACUUCUCCAUGGAACUGGUAAUGCUCGGAAGUGGGAGAGAAUCUCCCAGUCCUUUAUAAAUAGUCUCGCCACAUCUCCUUGGUAAAAUACUUACUUCUUGAGGGGAAAAAAAAAAAAGAAAAAAAAAGAAAGAAACCAGAAACUGUGAAGUGAAGCCGCCUCCUCAUUCACAACUUCCCUCUCACCUCCUCCUCAAAGGAAGCUUGUUCAGCUGCUUACUGGCAACAAAUGCAUCCUGGGGCAGGUCCCCACAGCAGCCAAUGAGUGCCUGUGCAAACUAGCUCUUCUCCAUCUCCAAGAACUGCAGGUUUCAGAGCAAGUACCUGCACUUGUGUUUGAACAUGUUGUUUGGGGGUUAUUUCUGAACUAUCUACGAGGUGAAUAUGGUGAGUGUGGCCUGGUUUGUGGCAGAUGAAGGUCCCAGAGACGACCAGACCGUACAAAAAGCACACAUGCGCAUUUACCCUAUAUUGGUGGUUCUCAAAUUUCCUAACGCUGUGGCCCUUUAAUAGAGCUCCUCAUGUUGUGGUGACCCCCAACCAUAAAAUUAUUUUGCUGUUACUUUAUUACUAUAAUUUUGCUACCGCUAUGAAUUGCAACAUAAAUAUCUGAUACUCAGGAUAUCUGAUAUGUGAUCCCCAGAGGUUGAGAAUUACUCCCCUUAUAAAUCAACAACAGGGGCCUGGUUACAAAAGACCAUAAGAAUUAGCGAGAGAGAAAGAACAUAAACACAGUCAGGGGCUUUACUAAUAUAGCCAUUCAAUAAAGUCAGUAUUAGCUGAAUUUUUAGAACAUUCUCAGUGGGGCCUAGUUUCUACGUCUUUUUCAUGUUGUAGGCAGUGCAUGGUAAUGAGCCUACUUUUUAAAGGGAGGAAUUUUCAUACAAAAUAGUCCCUAAUUACAUGACUCAUACUCUAUAUGGUAUUGUACCAAAGAAACAGAGAGAAAAUUCGUUUCAUCGCCUUGACUUCACACAGAAUGCUGUCCCAGGCAGGAGAACCCAAAGGACACCCAUUACAUUUAAUUGUUGUCUUACAUGGCUUUCGGAUCUGAUAGUGUCUCCUGGGCUAGGGAGAGAGAAUAUUUUUCCUCUCCAGUGCUGCAGCCAGUGUCUGAACAGCAGUUGCCCGGGCAUGGCUCAGAAGAAGGGCUGGCGCAUAGGGCAGGCCAGCAGCAUCUACCCUGGGUACAAGUGGAGGUGGGACAGCCACCUACCUCUUUGCCUUGCAAGUGGACAUUAAUGAGAUGAUUUUUUUUUUCUUUCGAAACAUCAGGAUUUUACUUCUGGCCAUGGUAGGAUGUGGGGAAGGAAGAGGGUGUGGAUGGGUGUCUACUGAGUUACUGACCUAGAUCAGGGGUCACACUACCUUUCUGCAAAGGCUCAGAAUAGUUUGGACCUUCCAGAAGAAAAGAAAUUGUCUCAGCUGUGACGCAGUCUACUACUAUGUCGGGGAAGCAGCUGGAGACAAUGUGUUCAUAUGCGAACAUGGCUAUAUGCUAAUAACAUUCAUUUACCAUUUAAAGGCUGUGGCUGACCCUGCACAUAAUUAUGAGAAACAGAGAGAGGAGAUAAAACAUGGAAGAAACAAGAAAGUGGAAUGAGGAGGAUGGUUUGGUAUGGAAAGGGGAUUUGGGGCAUCUCUGGAACAUUCCUUUUGAAGUAACAGAGACCCACUCAGAAUUGGGACUUAGUGUUCCUUUAGGCUAAUGGUCUGCUGGAAGCCUCGGGUGCAAACAAGACAUUGUGCUCACCUGAAGUGGUUCAAGAGCCAAGGGGCUCCAGAAGGCAUUGACUUGUUUGUGUGAAACUUUCCCCUAUUGAGCAAGACAAGGCUCUUGUUGAAAAGCAAAUGGCCUCCACCAACCAAUGCAUUGAAUACAAUCAAUGGCACUUGGGAUGCAUUCAACACAAUCAACAGCACUUAGGGACUUGAAGAGUUAAGAUAGGGCAGGGCUUCAUGGAAUGAAAUAUGUGUUUUGAAAAAAAAAGUGAUGUAAAACAGGGAAAUGAAAUUCUCAAAGAAGCAGGGUUUAUGACACUACACAGGCGGGUCUGAGUAGCUGGAUAAACAGAGGCAGCUGUCCUGAGAGGGAGGCCAGGGGCUGUGUGAGGUUCUGGCAAUAAGACAGAGCCAUGGAUAAAGAGGACUCCAAGAAGGAGAGGCAGAGGAUGGGAAGACUGACUUCUCUCUUAUCCGUGGGGCACUGCUAUGAGUGUGCAUCUGCAAAGAGACACUAGCGAGAAGCUCAGGGCUCAUCCACAAGCUCUAGCAAGCCUAGGUUAAAAUCCCACUUGGGUCAUAACCUUAAGGGAAUUAUUUCACCCCAUCAAGGUUCUGGCUUGCCACCUGUGAAAUACAGAGGAAAUUUCCUCCUCUCUAAGACUUCGUGAAGAACACGUGUGCAGAUUCAGAGAGACAGCCCUUGGGCAAUGACGGGCUUUCCGUAAAGAACUCAAGCGAUCACCAGUCCACUACAUCAGCUGUUACCACAGGGACCUGGUUUUGGCCUAUCACUGGCAGAAGCCGAAAAAGGAAAAUGGGAGUAGGUUACUUGUGAAUUCUGGACUGAUCUUUACUCUGGAGGCAGAACUCUAAACUUCUUUUGUCAUGUUGGAGAGGCAAUCUACUGGGCUAUAGAUAAAUUUCCAAAAAAAAAAAAAAAAAGUACAAAAAUGAAAACCAACUCAAGCAGAGAGUUGGGGACACGAGCCCUACGUGUCUGCGUGUGCCGUGGAAAGUUGUGAUGAGGAGGAAGCAGGGAGUUUACCCUGUGUCAUCAGCCUUUGACAAGAUGACAAGAGGAAAAUAAUGAGGAGGUCCCUUCUAGACAGCGAGGGUCUCAUGGGGUGGUUCUGUUGCCAGUGGCAUCUAUCACCUUUCCUGAUGUGCAAACCCUGGUGUUCCUUUUUUAGUCUCCACUCUCCUCAACUCCUCACUCUGGAAGGAAUCUUGUUUAGCACACGCCAGUUAGCAUGUGAAUGGACCUGGGACAUAAGGCAACCCAUCAGAGAGAAUGUGAGCCUAUCGCUUAGAAUUCUGGGAGGUGGGUCUAUUUACCCUUUCUUCCCUGUAUAGGAACAGCUUAACUACAGUGUCCGUGAUGUUAUAAAGGAGGACAAACUGGUCAGAGAGAUCGCCUGAAGGAAGUACAGAGCAAAGGGAGUCGAGGGCCCGUUGUUGACCUCUUGAUGAAACUUUGUCUGAAGUAGACAACUCAGUUCUGUGAGCCAAUAACCAUCUCUUACUGUUGAAGCCAGUGUAAAUUGUGGUUGCCUCCACUUUCAAAAUCCCCAGAAGCUCCAGACAGUGACCUCCAAACUCCACCCUUUCCUCAAAAAGAUCACACUUCCUGAAAACAAAUGCUAUUUCCCAGGACACAGAAGAGACCCUGGCUUCCUGCCCUCAGGUUCUGUGGCAGAGGGGUAAAGGCCCACCCUUUCGGCAGCUCCCCACCUUCUCCUCUGAGGACGACGUUUAUUCUUGACCAGGUCCCUCUAUCACAACAGCACUCUGAUGACAACUUAGUGUCUACCCAAUUGAACUAACAUGGAGUUCUAAAAGCAGCUCUGAAAACCAGGCAACUCCCACGCCCUUCGGAUGUCACAGAGUGCGUGGGGGAGUGGCUGAGGGUGUGAACUCAAGGCAGUCUAGGGGAACAUGGGUGUGUGAGUGAGUGUGUGUGGCAGUGUACAGCGUGCAAGCCAGUGUUCCGGAAUGUGUGUAGCCCAGGAGGGUCCGAGCGUGCCUGAGUGUGUAUACUGUGUGUACCCUGUGAGGCAAUAGCCUCUGAGAAAAUGCUGCCCCUAGGGGUAGACCACCAAACAUAUACUCAAAAGAGAAAGGAAGCAGGUAGGGCGUAGACAUGAGCACCGAGAAGCAACACAGCCUGGUAUCUGACCCACAAGGCACACUGUCCACUUUUUGCAGUACUGGGAAUGAAACUCAGGAUAUCACACAUGCCAGGUAAAUAGCCUACCACUGAGGUACACCUCAGAGGCAUCCUGUCCUCUUUUAACGAGUAAUGCUUGAAAGGUCAUGGAAGGGGGCAGGCUGGAGAGCAACUGGGUUUUUGUUGCUGCUAUUCCGUGCCUACUUUUAAAUUGUAAAGGAAAGCACUGGUGUUUGGAACCCUCUAGUCAGCAUUCUAGAAAAGGAGUCACCUAGGUUCGAUUCACAAAUCCUGCAGGCUGGCUCCUCAGAGACAGCUCGGGAUAGCCUAUCUGACUGACAGGGAACAUUGUCAUUAAUCUCUCGGCGAUGCCACAUGUCAUUCAUCUCUCAGUGGUGCCACAUGGUGGUGACAGUUCAGGACUCUCAGAAGACUGAUUUAAACCCAAAGCCGCCACACGAGCUAUCCACAUUUCCUGGUGGUCUUUCUGGCAGCUUCUAAUUCUUAGGCUAUCUGUGCUACCAUCACUCUUCCGCAUAUGUGCUGUGGAUUCUCUAUUGGCCGCUUUUGCUUGGGGAAAGUUUAACUCAUGGCUGGUUUAACUUUUCACUGCCCCAAGACUCUUAACUCAUGAAAGGCACACACAGGACCUCUGCCUGGAGCAAGGUGUGCCCAAUUAAACGAGUCUAAGUAACACCAUUCAUACCUGGGGCAGACAGGAAGAGACAGCAUGGCUUCCUAAACUGACUUCUCAUCCCACGGGAUGUGAGUCACCCUAGGCCUGAUCCCUCAGCAAAGUGAAUCUCUUUGUCAGGAGCAUGGAGAAAAACUAUGUGAUGCACAAGAAAGUCUCUACCUCCAAAACUGAGCCUGUGCACCUUCCUGGGGUCACUUUGAACCAUCCAGGAGUAAAGGGGUGAGAUGUUGACACUAUGCUUGAUAUAAACCAAAUCAGAACAAAUGCUUGACUCAGGAUUUAAAAUUUUCCAUUUUUUAAACCAGAGUUUUGUGAGUAAGUGAUGGAGUGCUCAUACAUAUAUCAGAAAUAUUACACACUUGAUCUAGUUAGACAGGUGGCACUUUUCUUUAGAUAAAGGUGACAGUGGAAGUUUACUGGGGUUUUGACCGUGUCCCAAGUACUAUGCUAAUCACUUUCCAUUUAUUAAGUCUCUGAGAGACACAUAUUGUUAUCCUCACUGUCAGAUGUGUAGACAGUAGGAAGGGAGAGGGAAAAGGAGACAUAGAGAGGGAGAGAAAAAGAGGGAGAGAGAGAGAAAGGAGGAUGAGGAGGAGGGAGAAAAGGGGGGGAGGAGGUGGUGGGAGGGAGAUGGGGAGGCGGAGGAGGAGGAGGAAAACAUUAGGACUCAGACAAGGUUUCCCUAGAUCCCAGCUGCCUGGCUCAUAACCCAUGCUAACUGGCUGACUCAGUGGAAACAUAAAUUUAAACAACCCUUUCAAAUCAGAACUGAGGAAAGAUGAGCUGAAGAUCCCUGAUAUCACAAGAAAGGGACACCUGGAAUUUGGAGAAGUUGUCACUGACAUUUCACCACGGAAACCCACAAAGUGUCUAUUUUCAGGAUCCCUGUUCUCUUGAAAGCCCCAAAGUUAGUGAGAAUAAGCAGAAGCAGGGAGAAACAAGAUAAGGGUAGUGGAAUGUGGAUUUCCUGGAGUGGACAGUCCCUUGUUUAAUGGCCUCCCCUCCUUCUAAUGGUCAAAGGGAAUCUAUCUGGUUAAGUGUCUCUUGAAAUACAAAGGACCAGAGUGAGAUGAAUGGUGUCUCCAUAGAUUCAGACCAUUCCACAUGUUGAUUUUCUCUUCAUUUAGAAAUUAGUCUCGCCAUCAUUUAAGGUAUAUUGUAGGAAAGAGUUAACCUGUUUGAAUGCUAUAAGGGGUGGAUCCAGUGACAGAGCUGAGAGGGUGCCAGUGACAAGUUCCACAGCCUCCCCAGAUUCCCCAAUUUCAAUGGGGAGGUUCACAGGCUAUCAACAUCAAUGGUGGGUCAACGUUAACAUGAUGUCCUCUUUGGUCCCACUGCUACUCCUAUCUCUGCAGUAAUUCCCAUGGCAACUACUAUCCUCUAAUACCUCGUGCAGUGAUUGGCAUAUAUGAUAUACAAUAGUCACUUAUUGAAGGGUGGAUUAAAGUCGCACAACUGUAUUAAUACUUGAGAUCACCAACACCAAUCAGAGUAAUUAUUAUUUACUGAGUACUUACAGGCUGUUUACACAAAGGUCAAUUUCAGCUCCCCUCCCUGUGACUAUAAUGUAGGCCUUGUCUGAUCAUCUCCAGGUUACAAAGGCACAGGGAUGUUAAGAAACUGAUUCAAGGUAACUUAGGUCAGAUUUGACUCUGGGCAAUUUGAUGUUCCAGUCAGAUCUCCCAGCCUUGUACCAAAACUCCUGUCAGAAGGCAAUUAAGUGUCCUGCCUACUUCUCAAAUCCAUCCCCACCAUCCGCCCCGCUCCAGAACUACACUGGUAGAGUCAGUCGCACGUCACCGAAAUCCUGCUUUAUAACCAGGUCUCCCCAGAUGUCUUCAGAUUCUAAGACAAUAAAUAUGCAAAGGUUCUUGAAAUAGCCAGGGUUCCCACCGUCCCAUUUCCUCCCAGUUGCUGUGCGGUUGGGCUUGAUUGCCUCACUUAUCUCAGGACAAUGAGACGGAUUCGCCAAGCAUCCAAAUGAGGUGUAGCUUUUUCCGAGGCUGCAGGGAGAAGACAUUAAAACUGUGUCUCAUACGCUGUGAGCUGCAUAAGGAAGCAACAGCAGCAGCAACAACAAUGAAUGUGCAAACUUCUCAGAAAAAGAAGUGGAGGGAACGUUCUAGUUGCCCACCAAGUUCUGGUUCCACAAAUGCUUCUAAACUCCCAUGGGGAAUUGGAACCUUCUGGAAUUUCUCCAUUCUGGACUAUGUCGGGGCACUUAUUGUGAAAUUUUUAUUAUCAGGUUUGGUUUCUUUUCAGGAAGAUGGUGUUGGCCUGGAGAGAGGUUCACACAUGGACUGGUUUUAACUGGGCUUCUCAAGAUGCGUGUUUCUAUGUCCAGAGCAAGACUAAGAAAUAGCAUUGUUACAUUUCAUCACUUCCAGAGGGGAGAGGGGGCUACAGGUAAGAUGUCUUCCUUCAGAUCAAAUGCAAAAUACACGCCACCCGUUCCAACAUGUUACGUGGCAACAAGGCAUGCCUCUCAUAACUAAGGAUGUCCUAAAGAACAAGGGUGCCCAUCUGAACCCUAUUUGGAAGGUGGCGUAUAAAACAAGUCUACACUAAAGCCAGGCUCUUUUCCCCACCUUCACACCUUGAAUCCAUGUGGCUAAGAACCAUCAGUCUUAGAAAGCAGCCAGUUCUUCCCAUCGGCAGGGGAAAAUGAUGCUUCCUCGUAAUUAAAAGGUAUUUCUUCAGUGAAAGCCCAGUGGGAAAGUCAGUAGUAACAGUGUGAGAGAUCUAAAACCUUGGGAAUAAAAAUUUUCAAUUCCCCCAGGAAGCAAACUGUGCUCCUCAGAGGAAGCCAGUGACAAAGGGCCUUUUGUCAGUGACGACCCUGACUUAGGGAGGAUCAGUCUGAAGCUCUGAGUCAGCUCCUGGGACACCUCGCUGGAGGAGAUAACAAAGCCAGAACUGAGCUGGUCUCUGAAACUCUUCAAGGUCUCACCAAAUAUAGAGAAACUAACAUAGCAACCAAUCAAACUGGUACUAAUGUCACUGCUCCUCCCUUAUCAGUCAUGUUAGAGGCUACCCAACCCUUCCAGAAAAUCCCCCUUAGCUCUGUAUAAAAGGGGACCUGAGAGCCCCUUAGGUCAUCGCUGUUUUGAUAAAUGGUUGACUCCUGUGUGCUGAUAACUUCUGCAGACUAAACACUCUUUGUCUUUACACACUAUUUGAGUCUCGGGUCUUCUUCAGCGAUUCUUGGACGCUAACAGGUGUAUGUUGGCAGGGUUGGACCACUAGGGCCUGCUCACUGCUGUAGGUAGACUAUGCUGCAAGCCGGAUCUGUCAGUGGGACCUUUAAAGGGGUGGUGCUUUAAUGUUUUCGUAAAUGCUGUCUGAG
ensembl:lncRNA